AUGACAAAGUUCUUGGCUCCGCAAUCACUGGCAAACUACAUUUCCACAAGGUAUAUCAGCGCAGUAGCUGAUAUUGACAAUAUCUCAUCAUACAACUGGGCACAGUUCAUCGUCGACGACCUCUUGAAUUCUGCCAGCUUGAUGCCCAAACGAUUUCAUAAUUCUUCUCAAGUAUCAAUUAACGGGUGUAUACUAUUCCUCCAGACAAUUUAUCUGGACCAUAUUAUGCCAUCAAAUGACGAUGUCAACUGUGAAACCAGUCCUAGGAUUGCGGCAUUUGAUGAUGACCUCGUCACCCGCAUUAUCAUGAAUGACAUGAAGUGCAAACACAACAUUGGGUUCCCUUUCCCUCAGUUUGGGAAGCUGCAGCUCAUGAAACCACCAAGUAUUUACUCCCGUGCACCAGAAGAGGGCUCUCAAGAAAAUCAUCAUUCGACUCCGAGCGCAACCAUUAACCAACCACGUGUCUCCAACAUUUCAGAAUACUUGCAGACACGUUUCAAAUCAACUAAAUUACGGUCGAUAUAUGGAGAAGAGGCUUCUUCUUCCAUUAAGGAUGCAAUCACCAGUGCUGAAGGACAAUUUUCAUCUAUUUUGCAAGAUAUUUCAGAUUUUGAAAACUUUUCUCACAAUCCAGUAGCCAUUGAAGCAACUCAAAAACUUAACAAAAUUCUGGUUACUACUGUUUUCAAUUCGAUAAAAAUUGCAGUAAGGGCCACCCUUCGUAAUGUUCUUUCGGACAACCACAAUAGGUCCGGCGGUCUGGGCAGUCAUGGUGCACUUCAUUCGAACCCCCCAUCAGGCCUUACCCCACCAUCCUUCAGCAAGUAUACUGCUUCACCAUGCCAACAUACAAGCACGCUUGACAGGGAUCAUCCACAACCGGCAUCUCAAGGCAACAUUGGUUCAUGUAGCACAACAAGUAAUAUGUACAACAAUCUAGCAUCCCGCACUCCACCAACCACUCAUAAUGCUUCUGCCUCACCAAGCAAGCAGAAAUCGUCAAUCUCCCCAGCAUCUGCUGCUCGCCUGGCACAAGAGUGGACCGUCGCACUAAGUGCCGAGGAUACCAAUGGAGAUGAACAACAACGUAGAUACAUAGUACAAAACCCACCAUCCCACCUUCUAAGAGAUAAAAACACCCGAAAAAUAAAUCGAAACAAGAAACUUUUGUCCCCCUUUCAGACCAAGCAAUGCUCAAUAACACGUAUUGAUACGCGGGUAGCCCGCUCAACUUAUUCGUACAUUCAAGAAAUAUCAAAUGAAGCCUUGUUGGAUGAAGUAUGGCUUCAAAGUUCUUGUCCGUUCAACAUCUCCAUAAAGUUACGCACUCUCCAGCAAUCCAUUGCUCGUCGUGGCUGGAUGGAUACCGACUGCUUAAAUUUUGCGAUCCGCAAAAUGUUCUUCGAUGAUGUGGAGCGGUUCGAGGGAACAAACUGA
rnacentral:rRNA from 1 species